rnacentral:rRNA from 1 species
UGGGGAAUUUUGGACAAUGGGGGAAACCCUGAUCCAGCCAUCCCGCGUGUGCGAUGAAGGCCUUCGGGUUGUAAAGCACUUUUGGCAGGAAAGAAACGUCAUGGGUUAAUACCCCGUGAAACUGACGGUACCUGCAGAAUAAGCACCGGCUAACUACGUGCCAGCAGCCGCGGUAAUACGUAGGGUGCAAGCGUUAAUCGGAAUUACUGGGCGUAAAGCGUGCGCAGGCGGUUCGGAAAGAAAGAUGUGAAAUCCCAGAGCUCAACUUUGGAACUGAAUUUUUAACUACCGGGCUAGAGUGUGUCAGAGGGAGGUGGAAUUCAGCGUGUAGCAGUGAAAUGCGUAGAUAUGCGGAGGAACACCGAUGGCGAAGGCAGCCUCCUGGGAUAACACUGACGCUCAUGCACGAAAGCGUGGGGAGCAAACAGG